GAAUCAAAGGCACAAGGACAGGCUGGGCACAGUGGCUCAUGCCUGUAAUCUCAGCACUUUGGGAGCCCAAGGCCCAGUCCCAAGGUGCAAGGCCACUUGUGCUAGCAGCAUGCAUCAGCAAGAUAGCAGAAGCAGGAAGAGAGCUGGCCGGAACAUAUAUACCCUGUGAAGACAGAGAGAGGCCAUCCAGGUACCACGUAGCAGUUACAUCAGACUGAGACACUUCCUGUUUACAGGAGACUAUAAAACCUCUGCCCCAUCCUCAUUUGGUGCUGAUGCCAUUUUAGGCCUCAGCACGCCUGCACCCAGGCGCUCAUUAAAACAGCAUGUUGCUCCACACUGCCUCGUGUUGUCUGUUGGCACGCUGUCAGGGUUCGAACCCAUACAAGAACCUUUCACCUACCUGGUGCUUUGGCCUCAUCUAUAAGCAGCUUUUCCACUGUCCUGAAACAAGGUAGAGAAUCUGAGCAGCCAGUCAUCUGCCCUAAGUGCUGCCGCCGAAGACUGAAUGUCCUGGAAAGUUUGCUAUCACAUCUCCAUUACGACAAAAGCAUUGUGCCGAACAGAUGAAAAAAUGCAUUGUCAAUGGAAUAUUUUAUGUUUGUUUGUUUUCCUUUAAGCAACAUUGCCUUACUUGUUAUAAAAGAUAAAUAAAUAUUUGUUCAUUUCAA